CUUUGUCCCUCUUUAUCGUCUAACCAUUUCCCCUAUAGGUUCUCUCUUUCUUUCAAAACCCUAAAUUGUCGCUGCCGCUAUAGUGUAUGACAUAGUUAUGUUAUACCACAUUUCUAAUCUGUUUACAUUUGUAUUCCUUUUCAUUUUCGUUUACGUCUUCGUUAUCAUUUUCACAUUUCUAUUUUGAUUAUAAAUCUGUGUUUUUUCUUCCAGUUCAUCAUACCUGAAUAUGGUUUAGGGACUUGUGGUAUCCUUGCAGAAAUGUAUUAAUAAGCUUUUUAGAUCUGAAUCUGGUUCAUCAUAUUGUUCUAUUGUUGUUUUUCACCGAAUCUUGAAUCUUGAAGGAUGCUGCAAAAAUUCAUGGUGUGUUAGCAUGUACUGAUGAAGCGGUUCUUCCUGUCAGUCAAGUUUUUGAUGACAUCAAAGAACUUGGAGGAAAUGAAGGGGUUGAUCUAUUUUUUCAGAUUCUGAUUGUGUGAUGUGUCUCCUAAUGAUUUGUGUAUAUUUUCACGCAGCAGUUACCUGCAGUUAUUCAAGUGUUGGUUGUUUUUAAUCUUCGACAUCAAGUAUAAAUGUUGUGGCUGAUGUUAAAAGCGAAAAGGAAUUCAUCACUUCCAUUUUACAUGACAAAGAAGUAGCUAUAUCUAAGCUUGAGGCUAACGUGGUUCUUCGCUUUUUGUAUGCGUGAAUUAUAAGGGUAAGAAUGUGACUACUAAAUGGAGCAUAUCCAAUUUAAUUGCAGUGAAAAAUUAUUUAAAUGGUGAUUGAGUAACGUAAUUAAUAUGAGAAUUUUCAUAUAACUAGCUUUACAUUUUUUUUAUUCUCCUCUGAAAAUGACUUUUGUUGUAGGAAUUUCUAUGUCAGAAUGAAUUUUCAUAUAACUAGGUGAAUUAUUAGGGAAUUAUAUGAUGUAUCAUUAUUCACUUCCUCGGUAGUCCAUUUUUCAUCCCCUCUGUUGUUGCUUUAAGUUCAUUUUGUUGCUUUCAUAUCCCCGUAGACACUUUUAUAUAGUGUCAAAGACCAAGUGAGAUUUUGUUACAAUCUUUAUCUUCAUUUUCUAUGUUUUGUGGUUGUUUCUUAAUAGGUGUUUAAUGUUUAUGUCUCUGUUUGUUUAUUUUGAAGAUUUUGAUCAUUGACAGAAAAAGAAAAAGCGGGACCGUUUUGAUUUUCUAUGUUUAUGUCUCUGUUUGUGGUUUGUUUAUUUUGAUCAUAAUCAGAAAAAGGAAAAGCAGAACCAUUUUGAUUUUGAUCAUUGACGGAAAAGGCUUGAUCUGGAACAGGUAUAUGAUCAAUAUGGUUUUCAACAAGAUGAAUAUUUUGAAAACAUGCAGCAAGGUGUGGUGCAACAGUGAAAAUUUCUGUUGCAGGAAUCAUAGUUUCAAUGGCUUAUUCAUAAAACUUUCGGCAACUCAUUAGACGUAAUAGGUUUUAUUUGAUAUUUUAAAAUUUAGUGAUUUUAAUUUUUAUGUUUAUGUUUUCACAUACAUAUAUAUUAGUUUUCCUAAGAAAUAAUCAAUUGAAGUUAAUUAGUUUUCCCCUACUAAACCAGGUCCCAGAAAUGCCACCGAGUAAGUUUUAGCAAGCUGACAUAUUUGGCUUUUAUUACUGAUUGUUUUAGUUGGUUCAGAUCCCGGAGGUCCGUACAAUUCUCCAUUAUGAUAAUAAUGUCCUCACAGUUAACUGUUUUUGUUGAGCAAGGUGAUAGGCAUAAAGGAGGGUGACUUUGAGUUUAGGAAAUAUUAACCAAGGGUAUUCGUUGGUGUUAUUGUGAAGCAAAACAUACACACACUUGUGUUUGUAUGAUGAAACUGACAAUUCAAUAUCAAAUAGUCUUUGAGUAGUAUGAAGUUGUAUUGACUUGAUUUUAAAAUUUGGAGAACUUUACAUUUGAAGUGAGUAGUGUGUUUACUGUAUUUGUAUGAUGUUAAAAUUUACAAGUUUAACAAACUUGACUAUAAAAACUGAUGCAAAGCGGUGAACCAGCAGUAUUGAUGGACUGAGUCAAGCUUGAAUGUAAUCCAAAGCUCACACCUCACUCUGGAGCUAUGUACUCCAAGCAUGCAAUAACGAAGUUUUUCAUUUGUUUUGUUAUGCAUAGUUCUUAUUUCAUCUAAAUAGGGUUGAAGAUGAGCUUAUUACCACAACAUAAACAAUAUGUAUUACACCAGUUAUCUCAACUCAGUGAUGUAAAUUGUAAUAGUCAAAAUUUCCAGCAUUUACAGUAAUAGAAGCUUUGGUUUAUACUAAACAGAGAUGCCUUAUGUAUAUAUUUAUAUAAGGCAAACAACCCUUUUAAUUUCCUACCCUGAUUAGAAAAAGAGCAUUGAAAUGAGCAAACAACUCUCAAUCUUAGGAACUAAACAACACAUUUUUACUACUGUUGUUAAUAAUCUUAAGUUUUUUAACCUUAUUACUUAAAAGAUUUAAAAAAUAUGAGUUCCUUGCGUAGCUGUUCAUCAGGUUGCAAGC